GGACUAUAUUGGUGAAGACAGGACCCAGUGUUGGCGCUCAACACGACCCAUGUUGGUGAAGACAGGAAUUAAGCUGAAGUAACUUGGGAAGCAGCAUAAGAAAUGUGACUUUAUUUGAAAAUCGCUGCAUCCCUUAACUUUUCUCUUUGUUGCGACUGAUGAAGUAACAUGCCUCAGUCACUUCGUCUAAAAAUUAUUGUUUCUCUUAAAUUUUUUUGCCUACUUAACUUGAGAAGUAACACUGCCCAGUGUUAAAGUUCAGGAAGAUUUCAGCUUCUCUUCAAGCAUAAUUUCCUUAACUUCUU
rnacentral:misc_RNA from 1 species